GAUUUCUGGUUUGACGCGUUUGGCCCUCUCGGGUUCCACUCGAUGUGCGUGCCGAUGCGCGUCUGCCAUCCUUGUAGAGAACGUUUCUACCCUUCACUGGGCCGGAUUCGCGAUCUACAUCCUUUACUUUGAAAAAAUUAGAGUGUUUAAAGCAGGCUUGUGCUAUGAAUACAUUAGCAUGGAAUAAUAAUUUAGGACUUUGUUUCUAUUUUGUUGGUUUCUAGGAAUGAAGUAAUGAUUGAUAGGGACAGUUGGGGGUGCUAGUAUUCAUCGGCCAGAGGUGAAAUUCUUGGAUUCGAUGAAGACUAACUUAUGCGAAAGCAUU
rnacentral:rRNA from 1 species